AGCUUGUUGGUGAGGUAAUGGCUCACCAAGGCGACGACGGGUAGCCGGCCUGAGAGGGCGACCGGCCACACUGGGACUGAGACACGGCCCAGACUCCUACGGGAGGCAGCAGUGGGGAAUUUUGGACAAUGGGCGCAAGCCUGAUCCAGCAAUGCCGCGUGAGUGAAGAAGGCCUUCGGGUUGUAAAGCUCUUUUGUCAGGGAAGAAACGGCUGAGGAUAAUACCUUUGGCUAAUGACGGUACCUGAAGAGUAAGCACCGGCUAACUACGUGCCAGCAGCCGCGGUAAUACGUAGGGUGCAAGCGUUAAUCGGAAUUACUGGGCGUAAAGCGUGCGCAGGCGGUUUUGUAAGUCUGACGUGAAAUCCCCGGGCUCAACCUGGGAAUUGCGUUGGAGACUGCAAGGCUGGAGUCUGGCAGAGGGGGGUAGAAUUCCACGUGUAGCAGUGAAAU
rnacentral:rRNA from 1 species